UACGUAGGGUGCUAGCGUUGUCCGGAUUUAUUGGGCGUAAAGGGCUCGUAGGCGGCGUGUCGCGUCGGGGAGUGAAAGCCCGCUGCUUAACGGCGGGUUGGCUUCCGGUACGGGCAUCGCUGGAGUGCGGCAGGGGAGACCGGAAUUCCUGGUGUAGCGGUGGAAUGCGCAGAUAUCAGGAGGAACACCGGUGGCGAAGGCGGGUCUCUGGGCCGUUACUGACGCUGAGGAGCGAAAGCGUGGGGAGCGAACAGG
rnacentral:rRNA from 1 species